CACUGUGCUCUCAGACUGCAGGUCUACUUGUGGUUACAUAGUCUCUAAGAGUCCAAUGGGAGGCGGAGCCUUCGGAUAUCAGGCCCUCUCUAAUGGAACCAGCUUCCAGUUUGGGUU